rnacentral:rRNA from 1 species
UUACGGCCACAUCAGGUCAUAACACCGUUUCCUGUACGAUCACUGAAGUUAAGCAAUGUUGAGCCUUGUCAGUAACUAGAUGGGUGACUGCUUCGGUACAUCAGGUGCUGCAAG